AUGCAGGGAUACACAUGGAGUUCAAAUCAGUGUCCUUCGCAAAGAAACCAAGACCGGCCUCCACCACAAUACCAAGAACGACUUCCACCUCAGUACCAAGAACGACUUCCACCUCAGUACCAAGAACGGUCUCCACCACAAUACCAAGUACGGUCUCCACCUCAGUACCAUGAACGGUCUCCACCUCAGUACCAAGAACGGUCUCCACCUCAGUACCACCAAGAACAAUUCCCACCAAAUAACCAUGCUGUCAGAAAUGAUCAACCCAAUGCAUUACAGGUACAUCUCAUCCCGCAACUUCAAACCACAUUAGAGAAAAGAUAUUCCAAUAGACAACAAGAGGCUGCAAAUCAGUGGAACGCUUGCUCAGGCAGUGCGGACUCUUCUACUUUUCAACAAAACUCAAAUGGAUAUAAUUGGUUGAAACGGACAAACCAGAUCCGUCCCCAGCACCCAUUUGCAGCCACCAACACGCAGCAGCAUUACUCAUCUGACAACCCCAGCGCACAUAGGUAUCAUGCCCAAUUCAUGCAAUGCCAAGAUUCCUCCCCACAGAACUACAGAAACACAGGCCAUAGUCAAGCUCCAAUGUAUUGGUCUCCACAGUCAAACCAUGGCAGCUCUGUGGGUAACAGCAGGGGUUGGACUUCCCACAUUUCCAACAAUGGCAGCUCUUGUUCCAUGAAGAAUCAGCAACAAUUUCAAGCUCCUAGAAUGGCUGCUCAUCAUCACCAUCAUCAACAACAAGAGUUCUCUGGACAAAAUUCAGGCAAAAAACGAAGAUGCCACACACAAUACUCUUCUCAGUCCACCCAAAAAAGUCCUAACAAUCAAGCUCAGAGCAGAACUGAGACCAAUCGUACCUCAUGCAACUCUACGACACCACCUUCUGGAGCACAGAGCAAUGUUUCAUUGCCUUCCAAUAAUUUAAACCAAUGUCCUGUUGACCAGAACUGGCCAGAACUUGGGUCAAAAGCAGGUCCAGAUGUAUCAACCACCCAGCCUCAAAAUAAUCAAAAUGAUGGACAUCAGCCCCACUCUAAAACUCAUUUUAACUUCUCAUCUUAUGCUGACUCGCUGAUAUAUAGAUUACUGUGUUCAGAUGAUAAUGAACUAUCAGAUGAAAGAACUGCACAUCAGAACACUGGUCCAAAACAGUCGGAGGUUUGUGCAACCAAAAGGACUGACAAUCGCUCAAAGGAACAAAGAGCACAGUGUACAGUUGAACCGCCCAGCAAAAGAAUGAAGUACGCUGUGAUUCAGAGAGACCGUUGGAACAAAGUAACAAUAGUGUCCAAAGACAAAAGUGAUUUUGGGGUGCAAUCUGCUCAAACUGGUACCCAUACAAGUAGCGAUAAAAACAGACGUAAAGGAGCGAUCCAACACAACAUAGAGUACAGUACAGACCCAGCAGAUUGUCUUGAAGUGGUGUUUGCAUUACAGAAAGCUGCUCAGCAAAGUCACAAGGCCAUAGCCAUCGUUCCACCCAUUUCCCAGCAGAUCUUAAACGCUGCACCGAUGGCUGAUACCAGCCCCAGAAAAGCUGAAAGUCCACCGUUAAAGAUCGAUUGCGUUUGGUCACUUGUUGAGGAGUAUAAUGAACAAAAAACUGUAAAUGACAAGCUGUCUGAAUCCUCCUCACAAAUGGCUCAACAGGACAACAAAAGCCUUGAAAAUGCGUCUGAAAGCAACAUCGCAGACCCCGAUGCAUGCUCUGCUAACACGGUUGAAUGUCAAAAUGAUGUGCAGCAAAGUGACUGUGAUUCAAGUGAUCCUUCAUAUGACUUGUCCAGUGUGCCAGUGAUUGACCACACACUGGAGAAACUGAUGGACUUAGCAAAGUCUUUAGAGAUGGCCGAGUUAUCGGCCGGAUAUUCUGAGUAUUCUGAGAGCGUUUUAGAAAGGAUCGUGAAACUCUACUGGAAUGGGAAAGCUUCCAAUAUGUUGGAGCCUUUGAAAUCAUUUGAGGAGGUACUGCAUUUAUCCAUAAUAUAUGCAAAGGAUUACGGGUCUGUGGUAUUUAAAAGCAUCGAAACGGAAAACCUGAAGAAGCUAGCUCAUUGCGACAUUCUCAAAAAUGAGAUGUAUUCAUCGUCAGAGGAGUUCAGGUCUUCUUGGUUAAAUGUUGAUGGACAGCCAGCUGAUAUUGAAAAGGUGCUUUCAGAGCCACCGUUGGAUGACACAACUGUGUUCAAUACAACAUUUUUUUCAGAUAACACUCUUGUCGCUUCAGCCAGUUUAGGUGUGAAUUCCCUUAAAGACAUGCCGGAGGUUUCAUCCGAGGAGAAAAGUGUGAAUCCACACACGAGCAGUCCAACAGAUCUUUUCAUACAAAAGGCAGGAAAUGACAUUGAGGAUGUGACUGCGGAAAACAAUGGGCAUUUAUAUGUAAUGCUCAGAAAAGAAAGUGAGAAAGAGACAUUCAAGAAGCAAGAGGACAUCAAUCAAAACCAAAAUUUUAAUACAGAACCCUCAGACAUCUCAUCUUUAGCUGAAAGGUCUGCAGAGAAACUUGCAGACCUCGGCAGUGCAAAAGAUUGUUUGCAAAUGCAAACACAUGAUAAUGUAUCAGAUUCACCGUCUCUGAGCCCUGGAGACAGUGUUUCAGAUGGUGUAAAAAACUCUGAGGUGUCUUUCUCUACUGAGACUCAUUGUACCUCCAUGGAUACAUGGCAGGUGGAAGAUGUUUCCGUUGAUGAAAAUCCAGGCAAUAAAGAGGCUCUGAAUAACUCCUCAGACACUUGGCUGGUAGAAGAUAUUUCCGAAGAUGAAAAUCCAGUCAGUAAAGAAGCUCUGAAUAACACCUCAGGAGAUGUUUCUGAUGAUGAAAAUCCAGGCAAUAAGGAGGCUCUUAAUAACUCCUCGGAAACCUGGCUGGUAGAAGAUAUUUCUGAUGAGGAGAAUUCUGGAAAUAAGGUGGUUCUUCUUAAUUCCUCAAACAUCUGGCAGGCGGGAGACAUCUCUGAUAAUGAGAAUCCAGGCAAUAUGGACACUUCUAGCAACUCCUCAGACAUAUGUGUGGUGGAAGAUGUUUCUGCUGAUGAAAAUUCAAGUGAUGAUUCCUUGUUUAUGGGAAUCACGGUGCUAUCAUCAGAAGAUGCGAAUAUAUUCUUCCAACAGUUCAAAAGGGAACCUGAUUGUAACAUCACACACUGUGGUACAGAAAAUGCUAAAUCAAGUUCCACUAAUGUGACAAAGACAGACAGUGAUGCAGAUCUUUUUGGCCUAGAGUGUUGGGAACAGGCACCACUUUUUGAGCUAGAAGAGGAGCAAUAUGACGCCAAUCUUCUGGGCUCUGCUGCUAAACCCAAAAAAUUGGGUCAAAAUUAUAGUCUGCCAUGUCUUAAAUUGGAAGUCAAUGAGCCAAAUUUUGCUUCAACAAAGGAAUGCAUUGCAUAUGAAGGACUGAAAUGUCAAAAAAGCGAUUGUCUGGUAAAAUCAAAACUGGAAGAAAAUUGUAGUCCACCAUCCCUUAAAACAGAAGUCAAGGAGUCAACUGUUGCAUCAAAUGAUGAAUGUAUUGCGUACGAAGGACUGGAAGGACAAAAGAGUGCCUUUUUAGUAAAAUCAGAACAGGGACACAAUUGUAGUCCGCCAUCUGUUGAACUAAAAGACAAGAAGCCAAAUGUUGUUCUUCCGGAGACAUGCAUUGCAGAAGAAGGACUGACCAGACAAAAAAGAGACUUUAUUGUAAAAUCAGAACUGGUAAAAAACGGUAGUCGACCAUCUCUUAAACUAGAAAUCAAGGAGCCAACUGUUGCUUCAACAAAGGAAUGCAUCGCAGGACAGGGACAAAAAAGUGACCGUAUGAUACAAUCAGAACUGAGACAGAAUUGUUGUCCGCCAUCUAUUGAACUGCAAGUCGAGAUGGCAAACGUUUCUUCUCCAGAAGAAUGCACUGCAGAUGAAGGACUGAGAAGCCCAAAGAGAAACAGUAUGACAAAAUCAGAAACGGGAGAAAAUUGUAGUUCACCAUCUCUUGAACUGAAAGUCAAGGAGUCAAAUUUUGUUUUAUCAAAGACAUGCAUUGCAGAUGAAGAACAGGUAGGUCAAAAAAGUGACUAUAUGGGAGAAUCAGAACUGGGACAAAAUCGUAGCCCACAAUGUCUUAAUCUAGAAGUCAAGGAGCCAACUGUUGCUUCAGCAGAGGACUGCAUUGCAGAUAAAGGACUGACAGUACCAAAAAGUGACAAUAUGGUAAAAUCGGUGACUAAGACCGUGUCUGAAAUUCAGGGGUCAGCUGAGAGGGAGCUAACCAAGAUUCAAUCAAAUGAGCAGAAAAAUGAAAAAACAAAGAAAAAUAGAGUACCCAAGUCCCAAUCUCUCAAGCAAUGCAGAAAACCAUUUUCAAGGAAAACUGCAUUUUCCAAGCAUAAGCUAAAAUCUGAUAGCAUUAGUACUGGUUCUGAUGAUUCUGUGCUUUUCACUCCAGAUAUUGUGGUUAAAAUGAAUGGGCCACAAAAGAAAAAACUAGCUGAUGUAUCUGCAAACAAACGCCGUAGUGGUGAGAGUCAGAACUGCAGUAAGGUGCAAAAAUUCAAAGAACAUGGACAAGAAAGACAAGAUAAUCCUGACAGAACCUCAACGGACCAUAGAGAAAACCUACAGAAAGUGUCUGGUCAAUCAAAUGACACACCAUCCCAGGAGUCAGAAAAAAACCCGGAGCUGCAUGGUAUUCUGUCAGUGAAUAAAAUAAAAAGUACCGAGCCGAAGAAAGUGAGGUUUGACUUAUAUGGGUCCAAAACAGAAAAACAGUACUAUGCCCCAGAACGGCGUUUUUCAGCUCCUGCUACAUUAACAGUCUCUGAUUGCAAAGGCUAUACCGAUAUUCUUUCUGCUAAACAAAAAGUUCUCAACCAGUGGAGUAGCACCUUUAUACCUAAUACAAAGAAGACUUGGUCUCCCAGGUCACCACAGGAGGGCUCACCACAGAAGAAAAAACCACAGAAACCUCAGGACCUGUUAAAGUCAAAUAUGAGUGCAUUAAAAAGCCAUUUGACUCACAGAGCCAAGCUAUUGUCUACUAGUGACAGAGAGCAAAGUCACUUUAGAAAACAAUCUUUUCAUCAAAAGCUUAGGAAAACACUAAGCGGCUAA
ensembl:lncRNA